UAAGUGCGGAUACCAUUCGUUGGUUCUC
rnacentral:sRNA from 1 species